UACUAGAGGCACCGCCUGCCCAGUGACACACGUUCAACGGCCGCGGUACCCUGACCGUGCAAAGGUAGCAUAAUCACUUGUUCUCUAAUUAAGGACCCGUAUGAAUGGCUAAACGAGGUUUCUACUGUCUCCUAUUCCCUAUCAGUAAAAUUGACCUUCCCGUGAAGAGGCGGGAAUAAUCAUAUAAGACGAGAAGACCCUGUGGAGCUUAAAUUAACUAGAUCAGCAAUAUCAACAUACCCGUCAACAGACAUAAACAAAAUGACAUGAACUAUUAAUUUUGGUUGGGGUGACCUCGGAGCACAGCAAACCUCCGAAUGACAGCGCCAAGACCAACCGGUCAAAGCCCAUAUCGAAACCAAUUGACCCAAAAAUUGACCAACGGAACCAGUUACCCCAGGGAUAACAGCGCAAUCCUAUUCCAGAGCCCAUAUCAACAAUAGGGUUUACGACCUCGAUGUUGGAUCAGGACAC
rnacentral:rRNA from 1 species